rnacentral:lncRNA from 1 species
UCUCCCCCGCCGCUAACGCUACUUAUCCCGGGAAAGCUCGAGCGGGCCCCGGGAGCGAACCCACAGACAAAAAGUGAAACUUCAGCAGCAGGCCGGGAGUGGCUGCUGACGACAGAUUGGAAAGCUGAGCUUGAGCAAAGAGAUCCUGCCAUGGAACACCCCACCCCCCACCCUAAGAGCCUCGUCGGAGCCCCGCCCAGGACUCCAGCAGGACUCAGAAGUCCGGGAUGGUAGAGAGCAACUUCAGUUCCCUUCGCACAGGAGAGCUCCGAAGCUGGGACCUGACCCAGUCCUGCCCCGUGGAGAGGAGCCAGUAUUCUACUCUUAGCUGGGUUUCCGCCUCCAGGCACGACCCGGCCUCUAACUGUGAGCUUAGACCCAAGUUAGAGCUAGGCAGAUGACUUGACCCACUGAAGUGACUAACCCCAGUUCCUGGAAGGUUGUGGUUGACAAGCCUUGAGAAACAAUGGCAAUCGAGUGCUUCAGGGCAACUUCCUGUCCUUUGUUCAAAGACAAGAACCUUUGGAGUUUAACUUUUGCUUCCCAACCCUGCCCUGCCGGAAAACCAACCAGAAAGCUUGCUCUGUUCUUACAGCUUAAAAAAAGAAAAUACACGAACUGGGUGAACUGGUUUGAAUAAAGACAAGCCUGUUCUUGGAAGGUUGGGUUUGGAUAUUUUGUGUUUGAUAUUUGUAAAAGUGAGCAACGAUGAGAACCCCUUUUACUAGGUUAAGAUUCCGGCUAGGAGACACUGGAAGCCCUCUGGCCCUCAGUAGUGAACGCUUUUCAUCCCGGCACAAGAGAGGUUUACAUAGACACUGUCACAAACUAACCAAAAACACAGAUUUGGGUGUGGGUGUGUGGGUGGGGGUGUGGGUGUUUCUAUCCUGUAUCCUUUGCUUUACCCCAGUCUCCCAAACAACUUCAACCCAUGCUAAUAACACAACCACCCAUUCUGGUCUUUGAUUGGGUUGGGUAGGAUCUAAGGAAAAUACCAUAACAUGACCUGCACAACACAGCUGUCUGAGCAUGCCCCUGACCUUCCCACUCUCAAGCCACCUUCCACCACCGUGGGCCCUCACCUUCUACAGCCUAACUCAGUCAUGCAGACAGAAAAAGUACACCAGGGACUUCAGGGGUGGGGACGCUCCAACGUGCCUCUUCUCCGGUUAUAUUUUGAUGAACCUUUCGGACUAAGUGUCAAAGUACGUACUCCUGUACUUAACAUGUAUUGAACAUUUCUCCGGCAGUCUUCAAAAUUCAAACACUUCUGGGGCCAAACUGCUUAACCCCUUUGCCCUCCCAAGUUUUCCAGCUACACACACUCAAAAGUAGGAUUACAGCAGGAGAGAACACGGGUACCUGUGCGUUCCACGGGAAACAGGCUCCCAGGGGUCCGGCUUUUUAAGAGAUCAGUGUAUUCACUCUACCCUAAGCAUUUCAGCCAAUGCGUGCCCUCUGUGCUACUGCAAUGGAAGUCAUCCAUUGCUCGUUUAGGUAUAACAGAACUUGACCAGCAUCCCUUGCUUCCUUUACUCCCUUCUCAGUAACCCACUUAUAAAGAAUAAUAGAGUUCUAAUGAGGAUUAAUAAAAUUUAAUAAG